rnacentral:rRNA from 1 species
AGAGUUUGAUCCUGGCUCAGGAUGAACGCUAGCGGCAGGCCUAAUACAUGCAAGUCGAACGAGAUUAUCCAGCUUGCUGGAUAUGAAAGUGGCGCACGGGUGCGUAACGCGUAUGCAACCUACCUUAAUCAGGGGGAUAGCCCGAAGAAAUUCGGAUUAACACCGCAUAAAAACACAGGAUAGCAUUAUCCAAUGUUCAAAUAUUUAUAGGAUUAAGAUGGGCAUGCGUGUCAUUAGCUAGUUGGCGGGGUAACGGCCCACCAAGGCGACGAUGACUAGGGGAUCUGAGAGGAUGACCCCCCACACUGGUACUGAGACACGGACCAGACUCCUACGGGAGGCAGCAGUAAGGAAUAUUGGUCAAUGGAGGGAACUCUGAACCAGCCAUGCCGCGUGCAGGAAGACGGCCCUCUGGGUUGUAAACUGCUUUUAUUCGGGAAUAAACCUACUUACGUGUAAGUAGCUGAAUUACCGAAGAAUA